rnacentral:rRNA from 1 species
ACUCCUACGGGAGGCAGCAGUGGGGAAUAUUGCACAAUGGGGGAAACCCUGAUGCAGCGACGCAGCGUGCGGGAUGACGGCCUUCGGUUGUAAACCGUCUUCAGCAGGAAGAAGCGCAAGUGACGGUACCUGCAGAAGAAGUACCGGCUAACUACGUGCCAGCAGCCGCGGUAAUACGUAGGUACGAGCGUUGUCCGGUAAUUAUUGGGCGUAAAGAGCUCGUAGGUGGUUGGUCACGUCUGCUGUGGAAACGCAACGCUUAACGUUGCGCGUGCAGUGGGUACGGGCUGACUAGAGUGCAGUAGGGGAGUCUGGAAUUCCUGGUGUAGCGGUGAAAUGCGCAGAUAUCAGGAGGAACACCGGUGGCGAAGGCGGGACUCUGGGCUGUAACUGACACUGAGGAGCGAAAGCAUGGGGAGCGAAACAGGAUUAGAUACCCUGGUAGCGACUGA